GGCCACAUGGCCUAAUGGAUAAGGUGCCUGAUUCUGGCCCAGAAGAUUGAGGGUUCGAGUCCCUUUGUGGUCA